rnacentral:ribozyme from 1 species
AGAACAUCCGGGCGCUUUUGAUUGAUUCGACUCUUCCGUUCUGUUCUUUUCACUUCUUCCUUUUUUGUGCAUUUGUUACAGUACAUCCAGGGGGGAUUCAAAGUGCAUUGCCUCAGCCGGACACACACACCAAAACCACUACUAACAUUCAUUUCUUUCCUAUUAAUUCUGAAGGACUGACUAAGCCAAGCAGCAGCUUCAUUUUGACACAU